CGACGUCAAAUCAUCAUGCCCCUUAUGUCCUGGGCUACACACGUAAUACAAUGGCGCACACAGAGGGGAAGCAAAACCGCGAGGUGGAGCAAAUACCAAAAAGGCGUCUCAGUUCGGAUUGCAGUCUGCAACUCGACUGCAUGAAGUCGGAAUUGCUAGUAAUCGCGGAUCAGCAUGCCGCGGUGAAUACGUUCCCGGGCCUUGUACACACCGCCCGUCACACCAUGAGAGCCGGGAACACCCGAAGUCCGUGGUCUAACCAGUAAUGGAGGACGCGGCCGAAGGUGGGUUUGGUAAUUGGGGUGAAGUCGUAACAAGGUAACC
rnacentral:rRNA from 1 species